rnacentral:rRNA from 1 species
UGGCGUAAACAAAGGGAAGCGAAGCCGCGAGGCGGAGCGAACCCCAAAAAUAACGUCCCAGUUCGGACUGUAGUCUGCAACCCGACUACACGAAGCUGGAAUCGCUAGUAAUCGCGGAUCAGCAUGCCGCGGUGAAUACGUUCCCGGGUCUUGUACACACCGCCCGUCACACCAUGGGAGCCGGAAAUGCCCGAAGCCUGUGACCCAACCCAAUAGGGAGGGAGCAGUCGAAGGUGGAGCCGGUAACUGGGGUGAAGUCGUAACAAGGUAAC